rnacentral:lncRNA from 1 species
UAUAAUGUGCUGCUACAUGAGCUUUUUAGGACUGUAUGAGCGGCGGCUGUGGCUUUCAGACUAUGAGAAUUGCCGCCAGACUUAUUUACUCCGACGGCAAUGCCGACUACGGCGGCUACUACUAGGACGGAUGCAAAUAUGCCCAAGUAGAGUUUUUUCUUGGAUAAGAGAGAAAUUUGUUUGGCAGAAUCUGACAUUCUGCCAAACAAUUGUUUGAUGCGACUCAUUGAUUCUCUCUUUUCUAGCUUAAUUUUGUCAGUAUGAAGAAGAGAGAAGCUAGAUAGCUAGUGUGGUGAAAUUUAGUGAACGUCAGGGAUAGCCAGCGCCCAGCUAGAAGAAGAUAUGUUUGGAUUAUGGAAUAUCGAAGGUAUAUGUAUAUGAGUGGAGUGGAUUGGAGGAUAGGAUUUU